rnacentral:siRNA from 1 species
CCAUGAUCAGAGUGACACAUGGG